rnacentral:rRNA from 1 species
AUGCCCAAUGCAGCUGGGCUGCCUUUGGUGGUGUGUUUGCCCUCUCAAAAGUUCUUGUAUGUGUGUUUGUUUGAUGUAGCCGCAUGGGUUGAUCAUGGCACCACGACGCUAUUGCGAGUGAUGUGUUUGUUCGAGCAAUGCCCACAGUUAUUGAUCACGACUCACUGGUUACUGAACAUUCUAACUGACGAGUGGACAUUCAGGCAAUCAAGCGAGGAGCUGUGCUUGCCAAUGGCAGUGCACAUGUUGGCAAGAAGAGGAGGCCGCCUUGAGUGGCUGGUGCUCUGCAUAUACCAAGGGAAAACAGAAGAUGCAACAUACAAGGCCAGUUAA